GGACGGCGAUUUGUGGUGUAGAGA
rnacentral:siRNA from 1 species